GACGAACGCUGGCGGCGUGCCUAAUACAUGCAAGUCGAGCGAGCUUGCCUAGAUGAUUUUAGUGCUUGCACUAAAUGAAACUAGAUACAAGCGAGCGGCGGACGGGUGAGUAACACGUGGGUAACCUGCCCAAGAGACUGGGAUAACACCUGGAAACAGAUGCUAAUACCGGAUAACAACACUAGACGCAUGUCUAGAGUUUGAAAGAUGGUUCUGCUAUCACUCUUGGAUGGACCUGCGGUGCAUUAGCUAGUUGGUAAGGUAACGGCUUACCAAGGCAAUGAUGCAUAGCCGAGUUGAGAGACUGAUCGGCCACAUUGGGACUGAGACACGGCCCAAACUCCUACGGGAGGCAGCAGUAGGGAAUCUUCCACAAUGGACGAAAGUCUGAUGGAGCAACGCCGCGUGAGUGAAGAAGGGUUUCGGCUCGUAAAGCUCUGUUGGUAGUGAAGAAAGAUAGAGGUAGUAACUGGCCUUUAUUUGACGGUAAUUACUUAGAAAGUCACGGCUAACUACGUGCCAGCAGCCGCGGUAAUACGUAGGUGGCAAGCGUUGUCCGGAUUUAUUGGGCGUAAAGCGAGUGCAGGCGGUUCAAUAAGUCUGAUGUGAAAGCCUUCGGCUCAACCGGAGAAUUGCAUCAGAAACUGUUGAACUUGAGUGCAGAAGAGGAGAGUGGAACUCCAUGUGUAGCGGUGGAAUGCGUAGAUAUAUGGAAGAACACCAGUGGCGAAGGCGGCUCUCUGGUCUGCAACUGACGCUGAAGCUCGAAAGCAUGGGUAGCGAAC
rnacentral:rRNA from 1 species